GUAGUUAGCCGGGGCUUCCUCACAGGGUACCGUCACUUCUUCGUCCCCUGCGACAGAGGUUUACAAUCCGAAAACCUUCUUCCCUCACGCGGCGUUGCUGGGUCAGGCUUGCGCCCAUUGCCCAAUAUUCCCCACUGCUGCCUCCCGUAGGAGUCUGGACCGUGUCUCAGUUCCAGUGUGGCCGAUCAGCCUCUCAGCUCGGCUACCCAUCGUCGGCUUGGUGGGCCGUUACCUCACCAACUACCUAAUGGGACGCGAACCCCUCUUGGAGCGAUAAAUCUUUGACCUCAUCCCGAUGUCGGGUCGUGGUCUUAUGCGGUAUUAGCACUUGUUUCCAGGUGUUAUCCCCCACUCCAAGGCAGGUUGUUCACGCGUUACUCACCCGUUCGCCACUAAAAUUAUUGCCUUCCAUCCGAAAACUUCCAACAAUAAUCUCCGUUCGACUUGCAUGUGUUAGGCACGCCGCCAGCGUUCGUCCUGAGCCAGAUCAAACUCUGA
rnacentral:rRNA from 1 species